ensembl:lncRNA
GAAAUACACUGCCCUGCAAGAAAUACGCUGCCCACCACCUCCUCUCUGAAUCCCUCCCCAGUUUCACUGAGACAAUAAUAUAUUGCAAAAAUACUCUUUCAUUAUUAUUAUUAUUAUUAUUAUUUAAAUGACCGUUUUUUGCUGCUUUCUGUACUUUGCACGACACAGUUCUCACCCUGUUUUGAUCAGCAAGGUGUUUUUGUUCCCUUUUCCCCUGUUUUUCUCCUUAUUUUCAUCUGUCGAGUGCUUGUUUUUGCCCGCGUUAGCAGGACGCAGUUGAAUUGAAGGUUUCAUGUGUUGGGGCCGCGGAGAGAAAUUUGGCCAUAACUUGAGGGAAAGUCUGAUGUGGGGCUGAGGGACGGUCUCGAAUUCAGGGCUAAAUCUCUGUGCAGCGGAUGGUGUGCGCAGAGUUCUCAGCCCCACGCUGAGCCACGCGGGCAGAGCUCUGCUGCUCACUGGUGCAGAUGGUCCCCAGACUCAGCAAUUCCCACAAUAUUCCUAUUGACUAAAAAAGAAGAUGCCGCAGCUGUCAGCCACCCACCUUUAAGGACCGCUCUGAAACAGCAUUGCUUCGUUUGGCAAAGUGCAGCAAGAAGAAGAAAGGGGAUUUUUUUUCCCCCCCUUUUCCCCUGUUUUUUUCUUUCCCUUCAGUGUUGUGAGCCUCACUUGCCAGAUUUCAUUUCGCCUUUUGUUGUGAAGCUGUUUAGACCAAAGAAGCAUAACGUACCUGUGCUUCGGAGCGGGGUCUGAGCUUCCAUUUAAUUGCCUGAAUCUGGAAGUUGAAUUGUAUUUAAAAAGAAAUGAGGCUAUUAAUAAUAAUCUAAGAACUGGCAGCGCUGUGGCGGUAAAAUAUAGAUUUAAUUUUUAAUCUUGGGCCUGCAGAAGUGUUUUAAAAUAAUGCAGCGGGCAAAGGAGCAAAGGAGCAGGAACUGUGCCUUGAAGAUUCUCCCUGCGCCUUCAGGAGGAUGCUGGGCUGAGCCAAAAUCAAAGCGCUCUGCUGUGCUCGCGCUGUGCUGCUGAGGAGUUGGUUUCAGAGGAGUUCCCUCAGCCGGUCAGAGAUCUCAGCAUCUGUUGCAGCCGGGAUGCAUUCCUUGAUCGUUUCUGAGUCUGCCAUUAUUUUUCUGCCUGCCCAGUGUCCCAGGGACGUGAAACGAAGCCGCUGCGCUUUGCUGCCGAGCACUGAAACUCUGCACCAACAUUCAAUUUGAUCUCUCGGAACUGACUGCAAUAAAGUGGUUUCGUCAGCACACACUUGUGAUAAAAAGGCGACACGAAGAAAGCCAGCGAGCUGAAAGGCCCUGCGUUUUCCUGGGAAGACAAUAGGAUAUCUGGCUCUUUAUUUGUUUCGUGGAUUCCUUGUGCAGCCAUUUAAAUUCAGCCGAAGGCUCCAAAUGUCUAAACUUUAUCCUGGGCAUUUUAUUUAUUUUUUUUUCAGUGCUGGAAAGGAAUAGAGUUAAGUGUCCCAAGGGGAGUUUUAUAGAAAAUGCUAUGUGCAAUGUUAAUGAGUUGGGAAGGGGUCGUAUGUUUUUUCAUAUAGAGCCUAUGCAGGAACAAAUAUGGAACCGGAGGAGAAACCAUCUGCAGGGACCCAGUGAGGUGUGCCAGCGGGUGAUCCUGGGCUGCUGUCACCCCUAAAUGAUGAACAAAAGACUUCAAUCCCAAGAGCCCCCCGUGCCCCUGCAUGGCUCUGUGCUGGGCUGGGUGAAUAGCCGGGGCUGGAAGAAAUGACAAACUUCUUGGGUGCCACAAGAGAUUGCUUCAGCGUUACUGAUCCUCACUCUGCUCGUUACUGAAAAUGCAUCCAGCAGCUAUAUGGGUCAGACUGCUAAAUUUGUAGACACGGAGUGUCAGGAAGCCUUUUUGUCAACUUCGUACCGUUUAGUAUAUUUGUCCUCAAGUUCAAAGCAAUCCUGGCCCCAGACUUGUGAUAUUUUCUGCCCUUUCCCCUUUCUGUUGACUCAGGCCUCUUCCCUUUGAGGUCAACAUCAAAAUAAAGAUGUAUGUUUCCUCAGCCUGACCAUGGCUCUGAGUCUUUAGAUCAGCAAUCCUAUAGUCCAUAUGUCUUCCCAUCUGUCAGCCAGCAUUUGAAGCCAGCUUGCUCCUCUAUUCUUUCAGACAAGUGUGAGAAUCAGAAGUUUCUUUAAUGACGGUUUCAGGCCUUAAAGCAUUUGCUAAGAUAUUACCUAUUAAGAUCCCUUGAUGGCACCUUGAAUAGAGAUCAAAAGCAGCUGAGUUCACUCCGUAAAUCUCAUCUGGCCUUCAGUUUAGGGUGCUGGGAGAGGGGUGGGGAG